rnacentral:rRNA from 1 species
AGUGAACGCUGGCGGUAGGCCUAACACAUGCAAGUCGAACGGCAGCACAGUAAGAGCUUGCUCUUACGGGUGGCGAGUGGCGGACGGGUGAGGAAUACAUCGGAAUCUACUUUUUCGUGGGGGAUAACGUAGGGAAACUUACGCUAAUACCGCAUACGACCUACGGGCGAAAGCAGGGGAUCUUCGGACCUUGCGCGAUUGAAUGAGCCGAUGUCGGAUUAGCUAGUUGGCGGGGUAAAGGCCCACCAAGGCGACGAUCCGUAGCUGGUCUGAGAGGGUGAUCAGCCACACUGGAACUGAGACACGGUCCAGGCUCCUACGGGAGGCAGCAGUGGGGAAUAUUGGACAAUGGGCGCAAGCCUGAUCCAGCCAUACCGCGUGGGUGAAGAAGGCCUUCGGGUUGUAAAGCCCUUUUGUUGGGAAAGAAAAGCAGCAGGUUAAUACCCCGCUGUUCUGACGGUACCCAAAGAAUAAGCACCGGCUAACUUCGUG